rnacentral:rRNA from 1 species
AAAAACAUUGCUUCUUGAACACUAAUAAGAAGUAAUUCCUGCCCAGUGACUCUAGUUCAACGGCCGCGGUAUCCUAACCGUGCAAAGGUAGCAUAAUCACUUGCCCAUUAAUUGUGGGCUAGAAUGAACGGACUAACGAAAUAAGAACUGUCUCUGUAAGCCAUAUAAAAAUUAAUCUCUAACUGGAAGAGUGUUAGAUAUCCUUGAAGGACAAGAAGACCCUAUAGAGCUUUAUUUACUACAGUAAUAAUCAACUUUAAAAAAUUCGGUUGGGGCGACCUGGGAAAAUAAUAAACAUCCAUCAGAUUUAUGAUUAAUAUAUCUUCCUACUGACCCUUUAUAAAGAUCAACAAAUCAAGCUACCUUAGGGAUAACAGGCUAAUCCCGUUAAAGAGUCCUUAUUAAUAACGGGGUUUGGCACCUCGAUGUUGGCUUAGGGAAUCCAUGCGGCGCAAAAGUCGCAUAAUGAUGGUUUGUUCAACCAAUAACUCCCUAC